rnacentral:hammerhead_ribozyme from 1 species
AUCCAUCUGACGGGUCCCAAGUAGGACGAAACGUGUGUCCUGGAU